AAGCGGCGGACGGGUGAGUAACGCGUGGGUAACCUACCCCGUACACACGGAUAACAUACCGAAAGGUAUGCUAAUACGGGAUAAUAUAUUUGAGAGGCAUCUCUUAAAUAUCAAAGGUGAGCCAGUACAGGAUGGACCCGCGUCUGAUUAGCUAGUUGGUAAGGUAACGGCUUACCAAGGCGACGAUCAGUAGCCGACCUGAGAGGGUGAUCGGCCACAUUGGAACUGAGACACGGUCCAA
rnacentral:rRNA from 1 species